AAUCACUUCUGUGCGUUUGUAAGCUAAGGGAAGCAAUCAGUUGAAAGUUCAUGUCGAAGUGCGGCUUUUACGUGCUUGCUAACUACAGUCCUGGCUGCAGCCUCGAAGCAUUGCUAGACCUCAUCUGGAAGCACGCACUUAGUGCACUUUGCUAGCUAUUGUUUACAACAUCUCGCUAAAGAGAAAGGUACACAGUAACCUCCUUUCGAUUGCAGUGCAUCGCAUUAGCACAAAGACAACUCUGACGCUUCGUUGACUCGCCACAUCAGCUGAUUCCUGCCUUCGAUCAGCUGAAGUCAUUUAGGAAACAAAAUUUGCGCAAGUUGCAAGUCAUCACAUGUCAUAUGGGGUGAGGAUUUAUCAAGGUGCCAUGGCAACAAGCAAGGAAUUUGGAGAUCAGAUUAUCAGAGGUCAAGUCCCAGGAAGUAAUGAAGCCAUCAGCAGAGUCAGUAUGUCCGAUCAGUGUCUGGAUGAUCAUGGAAUUGUCUCAGAAGAGGCACAGCAUAUGUCAGUGGGAGUGGUAGAUGGCAUAUGUAACUUGCAUUGCACCUCUUAUCAAGAGAAUGAACCUGUUAAAGAUACUAAGCCACAAGAACUACCACAGCAUCUUAAAGUAGAUGGAAUUUUCACAGAAGAAGAGCUUGAACAGCCAGUGGAUGAAGCUUGUCUGGAAAAGAUUGCCAUGUACUGCCAUGUGUACAGAGUUGUGUGGAUCAGGCUAGGUUAGCCUUUGAACAGGACUUGAACGGAUUAAAACUCAGGGUGAAUGAAACAAGUAGUGGUAUGUAUACACAUAGACUUAGUUUAUAUUGUGAAUUGUCAGAUAAUGCUUGUAAUCUUUUAUUUUUGAGUGUUUAUAGACAGUAAAUUAAUGGAAGGCCGUGCACAUUUUCUUCAUUAAAUACAACUAGAAGAAAAAAGACUGUUCACUUUAAAAUUGUGUUUGUUGGACUAAGAUGGGGGAAAUUAGAUGCAAUCAAAAGUUUCCAAAAAAGAUGAUGUUUAUUUGAAUAUCUAAAUUUAUGCUUAGUUAUGAUUAAAUAUAGUCUACCUUUGCAACAAGGAAAAACAAAUAUGUAAUUCUUAUAUUUGGUUUAACCCUUUUAGAAGACACUGAGUGAUGAAAAAGAUGAACUAAUUAAAUGACACUACACAAUUUAGCAAAUUGAUGCUUUUUUUGUGAGAUUCUUGAGCAUGUCAACCCAUUCGUGAUCUGUAGGUUUACAGACUUUCCGCUUAAAAAUCCCCCAAAUUGGUGAAGAGAUUCCUUUUGACCAUAUCAGCCACAUGGUUGUCUAUUGAUUAAAUUAUGAAGGAUGAUUUGACAGAUAUUAUGUAAUCCUAGUACCUUCAUGGAGGCAUAUGUGUGUGUGUGAGAGAGAGCGAGCACACUAAGGCAGAGAGAAAAUUGUUGAACAUGUGAGUGAGAGAUACUGAGAAAGAAUCUUAUUGUAAUAUUAUGGGAUGUAGGAAAGGACGAGAAAAGUUUGGUUCACAAUAGUGCUGCCACAUUAAGAUGAUGCGUGACUGCGACUCCUGCACAGAAUCUACAACUGGGAAGCAGCAUUUUGGCCAUGGUCUUAUUCCAGAUUUGAAUAUUGACUCCCAGCCAUGAAAAGGGGAAAGAAAGGGAGAGUUUUUAGGAGGGAAGGACAGAGGGGGUCAAGAACCAUCAUGGACCAGAAUGCUGGAAGUACAACCCGUUGUGGCAGACACACUUCGACAUAAUUGUGUACAAGGUGAUGAAGAGUUUCUGUGCCAGCUGUUCCAUGCAUGGUGGUCACAGUGCCCAGACAAGCGAGUUUGUCGACUGGUCAAAGUACUUUGUGAAGUGGGAAUGAGAGAUGCCAUAAAUGAGCUGAAACGGUACUUGAUUAUUAAGAAGCUGAAAGAGGAGGAUCGAAAAGAACAGCAGAGCAAGAGUGACAUCUGAAGUAGUCAUCAGUAUUGUUCUUGUUGCUCCUGACCCAGAUUGCAUUCGUGAAAAUGCACAGUGUGUUGUCAGUGGAGGUUGCAGCCAUUCUGCAAAUGAACUUCAUCUCUGGUUUUGGAUAUGUCCAUCUCUGUGGCUUAUUGACAAUAUGUUCUGAGAGAAUUUGUGUAAAUUCAUUGCUUUAAGUGUCAUCACCCUAGAAUACAGAUUGGAAGAUAUGUAUUUGUUAUGUGUUUGCAGAUGAAUUGUCUGCAGGUGUAUUGACAGGCGCUGUGAUUUAAAGGUAGUGGGAUUUGCAAAGACAUGAGACAUUUCUAUAAAUUACUUUAUAUGUUGCUUAUGUGCUUUACUGUAUCCUUAAGUAUAAUAGCAUGGUGUUUUAACAGUUGGGUGGCCUGUUAGCAAGAGUCAUGCUUCCCUUUCAAAGAUUUUCUAUCAGUCUUGUUUUAUUUUUGAAGAUUUUACAUUGAAAUUAACAUAAAGCAUUGCAGUUUGCAAGAGCAGUUUGAAGUACAGACAAUCAUUUGCACCAUUAUCCAUUUACAGUAUGACUAAAGUGUGUAUAUUCACUGAUGGUGAAGCAGUUUGGUCCCCUUGGGAGCUAUGCUAAAAUACUGUUCAUUUGAUGUUGUUGCUGCAGAGAAAUGACUGUCAGUUGUCUUCAGCACUCUUUUACUGGGGCAGUAUUGUUUUGAAGUGGCAGUUCAUCUGUCACCAACAUGGGGGAUUUGGAUUAUUCAGAACAAAUCAUUUCUCUGUGGAUGUGUCGGAUAUUCACAGACAUGGUCUUUGGAAAGGUGUUGAAGGGGUUUGCAAAAAAUAUUCCGUCUUCCAGUUUGCUCUCUUCUCCCGCACCAGUAAACACUUCACUUCUAAUUUAUUUCAAGGUGGAUGCACUUUGACAAAGAUAAACCAACCAGCAGCAGCAUCUUUGUGGUAGCCUGUAAAGGCAAUUUGCAUUGACUCUAGCCCGACUGCUGAACACCAGCCUGGUGUAACGAUAUACUAUACCUGAAGAUUUUAUCCUAAUGAGUUACAAUGAAGUGGCAAAACUUUACAACAGUAUUGAGUGACUGUUACAGUCUUUAUUUUUUCAGUCAGCAUGAGAGGAAAGACAGUUAAUUUUAAUUGUCUAGGAACAAAUUACUGGUUCUUCAUGAUUGAGUUUAUUUAUUUUUUUAUGUAUCCUGUACUUUAAGCUUGAUGAGAUUUAUGAAAUAAUUGUUUAUGGUGCGUCAGUUGCCUUGAAAUGCUUUUCCAUGUGCAAUAAAAGAAGAAAAGCUGAAUUUUUAUACAUUCAUUGUGUGUUGUUAUCAGUUAGCAGAUGCUUUUUUGGGGGGACGGGUUGUUGGAGUGCUCUGCCUUUGCUAGGGCAGUACUGUGGUAGAAGAAUGAUGGUGGUUAUAUUAACAUUCUAAUUUCAAAAUUCUUUUUUUAAAGGUUUUAGCAUUUUUUUAAGGUUGUGUUGUUUAACUUUGUCAUUGUGAAAUACUUCUUUGAAAAUUUCGUGUUCCAGUUGUUAGGAUGGAGGUACUCUUAACUGUAAUUAUAAAACAUUCUUUGGAAAUUUUUUCAGUCUUCUCUAGGUACAAAGAGUCCCUUGAUGUAUAGGAUGUUGCCUUUCUCUGAAAUAUUUGUGUAUAAUUGUUUCUAUUUAUUAAAUUUAUCAUAAAUUUUUUUUUUACUUCAGAUUAAAAACUUAAUGCUUCAUAUUUGUUAUGAUGCAGGUCUUCAUCAUGUAGAUAUGACAGUUAUGAAUGUAGAAUCAUGCAGAAGUCAUAAGUUAGGGUUUCAGAACUAUACAUCCCUCUGUUAUCUUUCUCCUCACCUGCCACCUAAAUCCCCUUUUGGUUUUGAUUAAUAUGUGUCUGCAUUUUUGUGGGAGUGAGCUCAUGUAGACUAUAUAAAAUAAAAAAAUGGAAUGUUUGAAUUAGCUAUAAUUGGUCAAAAUCAUGCAUAAAUUGUGUACACGAAAAUAAUGUUACUUCUACAAUGUUUCAACUAUUUGUUCCCAGAAAUAACUUUACCAUGAGAUUGUAUACAUUGUAUGACAAAAUAAAGAAUGAACGUUCUU